rnacentral:rRNA from 1 species
AGCGAACGCUGGCGGCAGGCCUAACACAUGCAAGUCGAACGGAUCCUUCGGGAUUAGUGGCGGACGGGUGAGUAACACGUGGGAACGUGCCCUUUGGUUCGGAGCAACUCAGGGAAACUUGAGCUAAUACCGGAUGUGCCCUUCGGGGGAAAGAUUUAUCGCCAUUGGAGCGGCCCGCGUCUGAUUAGCUAGUUGGUGAGGUAAAGGCUCACCAAGGCGACGAUCAGUAGCUGGUCUGAGAGGAUGAUCAGCCACAUUGGGACUGAGACACGGCCCAAACUCCUGCGGGGGGCAGCAGUUGGGAAUCUUGCGCAAUGGGCGAAAGCCUGACGCGGCCAUGCCGCGUGAAUGAUGAAGGUCUUAGGAUUGUAAAAUUCUUUCACCGGGGACGAUAAUGACGGUACCCGGAGAAGAAGCCCCGGCUAACUUCGUGCCAGCCGCCGCAGUAAGAC